UGCAGCAUUAUAGUUUGAAACAGUGCACAUAUGGAAAUCAACCAUUGUCUUUUUUUAUUUUGCUGAAGUUAAGCUCUUUAUUUUUUUAUUUUUUUUAGGCAAAGCCACCACAACCACAGAAAGGGUUUAUUGUUUUAUGAAAACACUAGUUUUUGUUGGACUAACCCUUUACGCUGAGAGAUGGGACAAGGGGCCUUAGGCAGUAUAAUCACUGCAGCUUGUUGUAUUAUGUUUGAGAGUCUUUUAGGUAGUUGCGUUGUGGUGAGAUGCAGAGAUAUAUACAAAGUUUUUUCUAAAAUACCGUUCCACUAUUCACCAAAAUAAAAUUAUUUAAUUUUUGAUAUGUUUGUUCACAAAGUAGUGAGUGUUCUAUACAAGUGCUGAAUUUGUAUUCAAAUUGUGAAAUCUGGGUGAAGGAACUGUAUAGAAUUAAAACUAUUUAGCAGUUUACAAAAGGUAGUUAAAUGGUUACUCCAAUCACUUUAAUGUUUUUGAGUGCUUGGAGUCUUUCAUGCUGUACCUACUUAGAUAUCAAAUGUUGCAGCUAGAGUUUAUGAAUGGCUUAUGUCAGUUCUGUGCACCAUUCCUUGCACAGGUGCUCUUCAUUCAAUGGGAGAGAUCACCUGACGCUCAGAGCCAACGGAUGGCAGGCAAGACAAGCAUCUGGCUUCUGCAACUUUGCAGACGCUGAAUGUUGUUCCUCCACCAUUGAGGGAGGCCUGGAGUCCAAGUAAGAGGCAAACCAUUGCAAAACGUUUGCAUCCUAACCAGGAUAUGGCACCAUGUUAUUCCUUCCAUCAUUACCACUGCAGCCCAGUGAUGCUUAGAGUAACUCUCUAACAAGCAAAUUUGGUAGUUGAUCCUUCAUUUAAAAAUUUAAUUAAGUAGAAUUCAAAUGUGCUAAACAAUUAGAACACUUAAGUUCUGUAUCAAUUGUGUAUUGCUCCUAAAUUUUUAUAAAUACUUAGGUCUGCUGAAUGCAUAGUGGUCCCAUUAUUAGAAAGAAAAUAUAACUAAUAUGUGAGUUGGGAUUCACCAAUCAGGAGACACAAUAAAUUACUGGAUCCUUCUCCAUCCUCUUCCUCAUUCAAUGUGUACCUGAUUAAAGAAAGUACAAAUAUGUGUGUGGCAUGCAGAACUCCUACUGAACCAGAGAGAAUGUAGAACUCGGCAUCUUGCACCAGGGGGUGUUUCAAAGAGGUUGGUCUCUGGCAGAAGCAGAAUUCUUACUCUCAUGUUGCUUUCCUAGAGGUUUUGAUGAGAAGUCAUCCUGUGAGAUGUAAUUCUGCAAAAGCUGGAUAUCUACAGUACUUCAUUACCGCACAGUCUUUCAAUAUGGGUUACAAUGGGAGUGUUAAUAAUUCAAAACAAUUAGGGAUGCUGUUGCCUAAUCCCCUAGUUUGUACUGUUGGUUUGGGGUAAUAGGUAAUGUAUGUGGAGAUAUUUAUAACCCUUGACAACCAGGGUCAAAGUCCAGGCUCUCUCCUCACCCAAUGCCAGGUGUGCAUGUCAUUAAUAUUAUUUUUUGUGGAUGGUGUGUGGGGUAGAUCCCUUUCACUCUCUCUUCCACUCCCGCCUGUUCUGAAGGGAUGAGUUGUUAGGAAUUGUAAAUGGCAAAGAUUAGAUAUUUUUGGCUUAAUAAGAUACUCUUGGUCCAGACAGAAUCUGGUUUCUGGUAUUUGCGAAGGUUGUUUUAAUUUUUCUUUUUGUUUUUUGUUUGAAUGUAUACAUGUGUAAUAUACCUAUUAAGAAUGUUUAAUAUAUUGUGGCUAAGUGACAAAAGAG
rnacentral:lncRNA from 1 species